UUCUAACCUAAACGAUGCCAGCUAGCGAUCCGCCAAAGUUCCUCCGAUGACUUGGUGGGCAGCUUCCGGGAAACCAAAGCAUUUGGGUUCCGGGGGAAGUAUGGUUGCAAAGCUGAAACUUAAAGGAAUUGACGGAAGGGCACCACCAGGAGUGGAGCCUGCGGCUUAAUUUGACUCAACACGGGAAACCUCACCAGGCCCGGACACCGGAAGGAUUGACAGAUUGAGAGCUCUUUCUUGAUUCGGUGGGUGGUGGUGCAUGGCCGUUCUUAGUUGGUGGAGCGAUUUGUCUGGUUAAUUCCGAUAACGAACGAGACUCUAGCCUACUAAAUAGACGUACUUUAUUACCGGCAUCUCAAGGCCCAUCGGCUGUAUUGUUACUGAAUGUUAUUUGUAUAUUUUGUUGAUAUAUAUUUAUAAAUAUGUAUGAUUUGAUAAUAUAUAUUUUAUUAUAA
rnacentral:rRNA from 1 species